UUAGUAGCCAUUUCAAUGUAACAGUCUAAAAUGGCAACAGUUAAUAAUUUUCACAUAGGCUACGAUUGUUUUUAACGCUCUUGAUAAGCGCAUGCGCACACACAGCAAUUCCCAUCCCCCACCCCUGACUGACAUUUCAACUCCAGCCACCAGUGACGUCAACUGUCACUUUUCUGUCAUGCAGCUGAUUACAUGUGUAAGCUGUUCAAACUCUGCCUGUCCUUAUCAUUCAAGACUGUGUGUUAUGAGGACUGCUUCCCUGAGAAUGCUGAGUGCAUUCUGGAAUAUUCCAAAUGUGUGCCACUUCCAUACAGACGCCCGCAAGAGAGUUCACUCAUCAGGUCAAAGUUGGUCUGUCCUGAUGGCACUACCUGCUGCUUGAUGAUGUCUAGUAGCCAUCGCUGCUGCUUUCAACGCGGUAGUCCUCACAAAUAAACUGAUAUCAAGAAUUAACAUAGAUGGUGAUGGUGGCAAGUGUGCCUUCAGAAGGUGCCACCCAGCAGUCCCAGCCUGCUUUUGCAAGUCCGAUGGGGGAUGAUCUAUGUUAAGGU